CCCUAUCAUGGGUGGAGAUGCGAUUAUCUAAAAGCUGCAGCCGGCGCUGAAUCUCAUUAAGGGUCUCUUGCACCCCAGGUUGGACAGCUGCAUCAGCAGGAGUCAUGACCCUGCCUCAAGUUACCUGGCCCCACAUUAUCCAGACAGGGUUAUUCCAUCUCUUUUCCCUUCUUAUUCCUGGUACCCACCUUCUCCUCCAAGCCCACUCAGGCUACUCUGUAUCGAGGGCGGAGGAAGCUGCGGUACCUAAGGGAGAGAGAAAUUGGGACAGACGGAAACACCGUCCGGGACCAUUAGUCAUCUGUGCAUAUCCUUGUGGGGAGGAAAGAAGAGAUUAUUGUCUUCAAGUAUUGUCAUGGGAAAGAAGUAUCAGAUUUACUUUGUUUAGCCCUAGAGAGCACCCUAAACUAGGAUGAAAGUUGCAAAGAAAAGACUUUAGGUAUAUUCUAUAACUGUCCAAAACUGGUAGAGUUGGUGGAACCCCUAUCAUUGGAGAUCUUCAGGUGAAGUUUGGAUAAAGACUUGUAGGGUGUAUUGUAGAGAGAAUUCUUCUGAAGUUGAACUUGAUUGCUGCUGGGAUUGUUCUUCAAGGUAGGAAAUUCUGUGAUUCUAUGGAACCACUUUUCACAUAGCAAGAUACACUGAAAUGGAAGAGAAUGUACCUGGGAAAAUGCUCCAACAAGCCUGGAAGUCAGUGUGUUCUGCUUUAACCCUGGGAAUCUGAAGCAAUUCCAAGAAGUUUGGUUUUGGCUUAAUUCUCUAUAUUUGGAAAGUCUCGGCUUCCAUCCAGGAUCAGCCUGGGGGUUUGAGUCCACAAAGUGGGUAUAUAAAGGGAAUCAGCUUGCUGGGAAGUAAAUCCCAACUCUCUCACUGGGCCCUCAAAUUGCACCAGAGGAUCUUAACUAGGAAUGACAACUCAUUUGAAGGAUCCUAAG